rnacentral:lncRNA from 1 species
GAAGGGAAGGGAAGGGAAGGGAAGGGAGGGAAGGGAGGGAAGAGAGGGAAGAGAGGGAAGGGAAGGAAGGGAAGGGAGGGAAGGGAAGGGAAGGAAGGGAAGGGAAGGGAAGGGAAGGGAAGGGAGGGAAGGAACGAGGAGAACUACAAGCAGGGUGGGUUUGGGGUUAACCCUUCCUGGGUGGGGGGAUGCCCGUCCCGGGGUGCCCCUGGAUUCCCGGGGUGCCCCUGGAUUCCCGGGAUCCGAGCAUUCCCGGGCGGCGGCUCCGGCAGAGUCGGACGAGGCGCUGCUGAAGAUGAGCAUCGGGCAGCCGGAGUUCGGCCGCGCGGGGCUGCCGGACCUGAGCUCCAUGAGCGAGGAGGAGCAGAUCGCCUACGCCAUGCAGAUGUCCCUGCAGGGCGCCGGUGCGUGCCGCCCGGGAGAGCCGGGAAACACCGGGAAACACCGGGAAAAACACCGGGAAACACUGGGAAAAACCCUGGGAAAAAACGGGAAAUACCCUGGGAAACACCGGGAAAAACACCGGGAAACACCGGGAAAUACCCUGGGAAAUACCCUGGGAAAAACACCGGGAAACACCGGGAAAAACACCGGGAAACACCAGGAAAAACACCGGGAAGCACCGGGAAAAACCCUGGGAAAAACCGGGAAAAACCCUGGGAAAUACCCUGGGAAAAACCCUGGGAAAAGCCCUCAGGAANNNNNNNNNNAAACACCGGGAGAAACCCUGGGAAACACCGGGAAAAACCCUGGGAAAUACCCUGGGAAAAACGGGGAAAUACCCUGGGAAAAACCCUGGGAAUAACCGGGAAAUAUCCUGGGAAAAACUGGGAAAAACCAUGGGAAAAGCCCUGGGAAAAACUGGGAAAACCCCUCAGGAAAUAUCGGGAAAAUCCUUGGGAAAUACCCUGGGAAAACUCUAGGAAAAGCCCUGGGAAAACCCUUGAGAAAAACCAUGAGAAAAACCGGGAAAAUCCUUGGGAAAUAUCCUGGGAAAAUCUGGGUAAUACCCUGGGAAAAACUGGGAAAAAUCAUGGGAAAAGCCCUGGGAAAAACCAGGAAAAUCCCCAGGAAAUACCCUGGGAAAAUUUGGUAAAACCCCUCAGGAAAUAUUGGGAAAAUCCUUGGGAAAUACCCUUGGAAAAACCAGGAAAAUCCCCAGGAAAUACCAACAAAACCCCUCAGGAAAUAUCAGGAAAACUCAUGGGAAAUACCAGGAAAAGCCCUGGGAAAUCCCUCGGGGAAUCUGCCGGGAAAACCCCUGGGAAACAUUGGGAAAAGCCUUGGGAAAUACUGGGAAAACCCUUGGGAAAACUCUUUGGAAAUACC